AUUGUAAGAUUAACAGUCUUGGCUGCAAUUAUGUUAAUUACUAAAACAAAAUGUCUCUAAAACCAAUUAUUGUAUUAUAGAAGCAUUGCUUUGCAACAUCAUUGGAAAGAAAUCAAAAAUGGGUCUCCAGCUAAUGACUUUUAUCAGUUAUAGGAUAUUCAGGUAAUACGAUGAUACAAGAAGCCGUCUUAUAUUUUGUUUACGAAGGAUGUGUAACAAUCUGUCAAUGCGACACAUGCGUAGAUACACCUCCGGACUGUGCUGAAUACACAAAAAGUUCGUGCACGGCUCCAUAUGUGAACUGGGCUUAUAGCAAUUGCAAAGCGUACUGUGGAUUUUGUCAUACGGAAUGUCAUAAUAAAAGGAGUGACUGUCAUGAGUAUGGAAAACAAGUGUGUCAGUUACCCUAUGUAUCAUGGGCAAAGGAAAACUGCGAGCAAUAUUGUGGAUUUUGUGGACAUGACUUGAAGUGUCUAUAUAGUCCGUGGGAAGACCUGACUCCUUGCAUAGCGGUCUGCGGCCUAGGCCUGAAAGUUCAAGUUAGAACAUUUGUCAUGGUUAAACAAGGCACCCCUCUAGCCAAGGACUGCAACGAGAGCUUAAUUAAAAACACCACCUGCGCUAAACAUACUUGUAGGCACCGUUCCACCGACGGCUGUAGUGAAGGUUCCCGUCACCGAGCCGUCAGUAGUUACACUCAAAACCCAUGUUGAUACCGGAGUUCUUGAUCACCAUGGGCCUCUCAUUCCUGUUGACCCAGACACAGUUAAGGAUGUCAUCAAAGCAGGAACCACCGUCGUUGAAGAAUUGGCCAUUGGGGCACUGUUUGCCGAACUACUUCCAAUGAUUGCUUUCAUUGGUAAAAGAGAUGUAACUGAGCAAACAAGAGCUUUGAAGACUUUGUAAAUUCCGUUAUGAAGGCUCACAAUUUGAGCUGAUAUUCUUUUUGAAUGAUAUGAUAAAUGCAAUUUAACAUAAAUGAC
rnacentral:misc_RNA from 1 species